CAGCCGCCGCGGGAAUACGAAGGGUGCAAGCGUUAAUCGGAAUUACUGGGCGUAAAGCGCGCGUAGGUGGUUUGGUAAGAUGGAUGUGAAAUCCCCGGGCUCAACCUGGGAACUGCAUCCAUAACUGCCUGACUAGAGUACGGUAGAGGGUGGUGGAAUUUCCUGUGUAGCGGUGAAAUGCGUAGAUAUAGGAAGGAACACCAGUGGCGAAGGCGACCACCUGGACUGAUACUGACACUGAGGUGCGAAAGCGUGGGGAGCAAACAGGAUUAGAUACCCGUGUAGUCCCUGUCUCUUAUAC
rnacentral:rRNA from 1 species